CCACAGUGCCCGGCCUACUCUUAAAGGACCACGUCUUAUCCUUUGUCUCCUGAAAGCAUAGCCCAGAACACAGGAGACUCUCCACCAGUAUUUGUGUACUGAAUAAAGGAAUGAAGGAAACCUUCAGGCCUUCCCUCCUCAGAAGAAUCCUAAAAGGAACUUGAUUCAGGGAAAGACUUCAACUCAAAGGGGCUGGUAGGCCAUUUUAAAUGGAACAGAUGGAAGGCCAGCUUCAAAGGUACUGCCUACCUGAACCUGCCUUGUCCCAAAAGGACACACUUCAGUCUGGGGAGAGUUUAAAGUUGUAGACAUAUCCAUUUUCAUUUAAGGAAUAUGAAGAUCAGGGAGGCAAAAUAUCGAGAGGAAAAAUUGAGAGAUGAUCAGAAAUUCAGACGCAUUCUGGAAUGAGCACCCUUGACCAUACCAAGAACAAAGAUUCUAUAAAAAUGUGAAGUCUUAUUAUUAUUCAUCCAUGUUCUACGUGGGAUCCACCCAAGACAUUGAAAACUGUACAGAACAGGGUGAAAUUGAAUCAGAUCAUUCUGUACUCCUAACAAGGUCCACCCCAUGAGAACUUGCAGCAGAAUUAAUGACACUGUAUAUUUUCCUCUACUAACAACAACAACAACAACAACAACAACAAUCUAGGAAAAUCAAAGGCAGCCCGACAUGGAAAAUAACACAAAAUGAAUAUUUGGAUUACAAAUAGUGUAAUGGGAAGAACACACUGCCAAAAGUCCACCUAGUAUGUUGAAAUUACUGUUUCUAGCACAUAUAAGGUAUGAUUUUUUAAUGUUUUAAACAUUCAUUAUUGGCUACUUUAACUAUUUUCCUUGGUAACUGCAGCAGAAAUUGAAAAAUGAUAGAAAAGCAGAAAAGAAUGGCAUAACUUAUCAGAUAUAUGUAAGUGUGUAAACUUUGGGUUUUAUUGUUUAGCUCAUCUAGUAACUUGGGAAAAUAAUAGCUAUUCCACAAGAUUGUUGAGAAAAUUAAAUGAGAGAACACAGUUAACAGACUUAGCUGAAUGUGUAGCAUAUAGAGGGCACUCAGGCAUCCCUGGCAUACAGGUAUGAGUCUGCAAUUAACAAGGUAAUGGAAAGAGUGUUGCAGAUCUCUGACUGAAGUAUUUUCUCCUGGGCUUACAGUAUUUAUCAGCUAUCAUAAUACAAGUAAGUGGCAAGAUAAGCUUACUUAAGGUGAUUUUCUUGUUUGAUGUAUUUUUAUGUGAUUGCAUAUUU
rnacentral:lncRNA from 1 species